GCGGAAGCAACGGGACGUGCGACCAUGUCGAGCUUCUUGUCUUCUUGCACGCGCGCCCUAAGAUUCUUUCCCCCCGAAUCCCCGCGGCCGUCUCCCUCCCACAUCCUUCCUCCUCCUUCCUUCCUCGCUCGUCAGCCGCCGCACUCCUCCUCCAUCUCUUUCCUCCUGCAUCCUCCCGCGUGGGACGCCGCUAGGCUCCUCCCUCUUUCCUCCCAGCCUGACGCAGGCGGAUCCAUGAGUAGCAGAGAGGAGGAAGGGAGGUAGAGGAACGACGGGGAAGGGGAUGGGCAGGAGCUUCAUGCCCUGAAUCCAGUCGCCCCGGGCCGUGCCUACAUGAGCAGCGCCGCGGCUCGAUGCUUCCCCGCCCGACGAGGACGGAAAGCUAGGUGUUGACAAUGGCAGCCCCAGGCCAUCCGAUCUGUCACCGCCGCCAUUCUUUUGGUCGAGGCCGCCGUCGUCCACGUGCUCCUCCUCACCCCCACGGCUGCACGCUGGCGAGGCCAGCCUCCCCUCCAAGCGCGGGUACUUCCCCGCUCCUUUCCGUGCUCUCUCUCUUCCCCUGAUAUAUCUCUCUCUUGUACAGGGAAGCAAAUUUAUUCAAUUCCCAGUCUAGAUUUAAUGAAGAAAACUGCGGUUCAUACAACGCCAAUGGAUAUGGAUCCAUCUUGCUGCGCUGGAUGAAGGGCUGGAUAUGGAUCCAUCUUGCUAAUUGGGAAGAAAACUGCAGUUCAUACAAUGCUAAUUAUGGAUAUGGAUCCAUCUAAUACAGUUCUUCACAAAGCCCAAGAAUCGCAAGGUCAUGUACAUGUAACAAUGCAGGCCUAGAAUUAGUCAUGUAUCCAAAUUGUUCAGUUCCAGUUCAGUUAUGAGCUAACAAGAUCACCUUAAUGUGCAAGGUUCAAUUGCUUUCGGGGUCGUACUUUUCCUGGUCCUUAUUGGCUGGCUUGUCUUCGGCAUGAUGGCGGAGUCGUAUGGCUUUGCCCUGCUAUUCUGGUUAUCCUCUAUUGUGCAUUAAUAUGAUCAUUUGAUGUCUGUUUUUCAGUGUGCAUUAAGAAAUGGUAGAAACUUUUGGGUAUUGUAUUUGACUGGUACUGAAUUUCCUCACAGCAGCUUCUGGCCUGCUGCUGUUGUUUACCUGCAAAAAAAACCCCACCAUCGGUUGGAUUUUCCAGCACCCUUAUGUGAUAUCGGUAAGAUCAUACUUGGGGCUUUGCUGUUGCCGAGCUUCCUAAAUUUUCUUCGAGUCCAACCCAGUCUGGUCGCCACUUUAUUUACAUGGUCUUGUUCUUGCUAGGGAUUGUUUUUAUCAAGAUUGAUGAACUAUAUGACUGGAUCCCAGCCCCCAUUGUUCUUACUGCUGUUACCUACUUCUGUAAUUAACCUUUACUGAGUACCGUUAGGUCUUUAGCAUAGCACUCUAAAUAUUUAAGCUAAUAAGGAUACCAUUAGAUGACUGACCCUGUAAUUAACCUUAUUCAGUUUAUGAACAUAUAUGUACGCUACAGAGCAUGAAAUUGGGAAAAUACAAAUAUGAUUGGUGGUUGGUUCACCAUUUAAAAAUUUGAUCUACCAAUUGUGUCUCAGUGAUUUCUACUUGAGCUAAAACCACACCAAUAAUUUUGGAACGAGGGAGUACUUAUUUGUUGUUGUGUAUUUGAUGGUUUGAUAAAAAUAUCAUGAAGGUUAAAUCGGGCGUGGUUUUGAUAUAUUUUUGUUACAAGAUAUUACAUCGGCUUUCUGGUUUGGAAAUACUUAUAAUCGUUUUCUUCUAACUGCAUGUGAGCCCACACUUUUGUAGAUUACUUAGGAUAGAGAUGAUAUGAAUGUGUGCAACAAAAUUCUUUACUCGGGAAUGGCUUGGUAGGUCUCUCGACUAUUCGGUUUCAUCCGUAGGAUUAAAAUUUCUUCAACUUGCUCUCCUCCCACCUUCAAUUUCUUUAAAACCGUUGUAUUGACAAGUAGAAACAGUAGCUUGUUUGAAUUAUGUAAAGUUCAUCCAUGUAACAGUUGCCUCUUAAAGACUGCUGACAAAGUGCAAAUUUGAUAUAAUUUUGCUGAUGACGCAAAUUGAUCGUACACUGAAACCGAAGCCUUUGGAAAUUGAAACACAAACCUUACUUAAGAGCAGGCAGAGGCGCAGAGCCAACGGCAUGCUCUUGGAUCAAUAUUCUACAGGUUAAACAACAUUCAUAUGUUCUAGCAUCUUUAGAUUUACAUUUUCUUUUUAACAGUCUAAUUACUCCAUGUAAAAACUGCAUCCAUUUUGGUAUGUGAUACUGCAAGUGUAAAUUAAGAAAGUAGCCUUUACGGUCUAGCUUCAGCAUCUGUAAAUCAUGAAUAUGUACAUACUACAUAAAAAUGGAGCAUCCUUACUCGAUUGCGUUCUUCUGUUUUACAGGUGACGUUGUUGCCUGCUCUUCUAAACUGCCGCUUGUUUAUCGUUUGCUUUUUUGUGUAUCAAGGAGGGUAACUACUGGAAGCAGUUGGCAAGACAAGCAGUCAAUGGAUCUCAAAGCGUUGAUCCUGAAGGAAGGUAACUACUCAAAGGUAUGCACAUAUUCAUGUUGGAGAAGUUAAGUUUGCAAGGAUCUGCUGUUGGAGGGCAUGGUAUGUGCUCUCAAGAAGUUCUUUAUGAUCCGGUGACAUCUUUUGGCCUAUUGAGGAACUGGACAUGAUUUAUAUAGCGAAGUUAAGUGUAUGGAUGACAACUUCCUCUCAUACCUCUUUUGGCCUAUUGAGGAGCUGGACAUGAUUUAUAUAGCGAAGUUAAGUGUAUGGAUGACAACUUCCUCUCAUACAUGUUAUCUGUAUAUUUUAUAUACAUGGCUUUUGUGUUCUGUCAUGUGUGUUCCUGCUGCAGACUUUUGUAGGAAAUUCACCAUGGGAAUUUAAAUAAUGGUUCCCUGCCCAUCAGUUUACUUUGUUGCAUUUUAUAGGCCACACUUUUCCUAUUUUGUUAAAGAAGUGAACUCAUUCCUAAACUUCCACCGUAUAUACAUCAACGCUGGGAUACCGUAUAUACAUCAACGCUGGGAUACUGUACCAACCCAGCAAUACUAAAAAGCUAUGAAUUGUGUGUCAGUGUAGUACUAUGUCCCACUGAUGAUGCUUCUCUGUAACAUGUUUAUCUAUUUGAUUGCAUGCCUUGAAGUAGUAGUAUAUUGAGCACCCUGAGAUAAUCAUCGAGAAGUUUGGCGGAAUUUUAAAUGAUUUAUUAAGCGACCUUUUAUGAUUGACCAUUGUACGAGAGCAUGUUUUAGUACUACUUGAGCGAGUUAGAAUGUAUAUAUUUUCAACUAAGACCAAUUUUUUCAAAAGGCAAAAUAAUUUCUGCAUGAUCACAUAUCAUGAUUAUCUCCAUGAAGAAUGCUUUAGACAGUACAAUAACGAAAAUAAGCAUUUUUGGCCUUCGAAACAUAUACUGUUGUUGGGACAUCUGAUUGGACCUUUCUAUGUAGAAAAUGAGAAGUGCUAAGUGUACAGAAACCCGCACUUCAUAUUUCUUACAUGCGUGAUUUAUCAUCUACGAUCCUCUUUUAUAUUGCUUACUUGCGUGAUUUGUCUGAUUGCCAGUAGAAAUGUUUAUGUUAGCAUGUCAGUUUGCUAACUUAAUACCUUCCAUCUUAUACAUCGAUAAUGCUUUGAAGACACCGACAAGAAUAACUAAAUUAAAUUGUGCCUGAACAUGUCAAUUGCAAUGACAGGUUCUCACCUUUCAACGAAGGAUCUCAUUAUAAAUCCUAAUUUUGGAUGUCUAGGUGGUUGGCUGAUGGAGAGUGUUGCACUGCUGCUUAUUUAAUGAUCAGUAGUGCAGCUCACGAUUUGAUUUAAUUAGCGUUUUCGUAGUGAAAAUAUGAAGACAAAUUUUCUAAACAACUUUAGGAUAUCUUCGAAAGAAUGUGCUAGAUUUGGGUCCUAUUAUAUUUUCUCAAUUCCUAUGUCAUCUCUCACAUGGCUAUGUGGUCUCCCCGGUUUUGUCUUUACAUUAUAUCUGUGUUGUACUACUGCUACCUCCCGCGCUACAGAAAGUAUUUUUUAUAUCAGCUUUGCUCUCGUGUGUGCAAGGAUUCCAUUCAGGUACGAAAAACACCACCCCUCAUGAAGUUACUUCUUUUCAGAGAGAGAAUGAUCAUUGGUUUUUAUAUGGAUUCAGUGCACAUAAAUAAUUAGCUCGCAUUUUAAGUUUGGUUUUAGAAUUAGCUUUCCAGUUCUGUACAUGUUUUCCUCGCUGAUGAUGGAUUUCUUCUUCUAAGAUGAAACUUUAGCACCAAAUAUGAAGUUAUUUGGACAAAGAAAAUCUUCCUUCCUCUUUGCUAUUUUCUCUCUUUAGUGUUGCUUUUUUAGAACACUCUUUAGUGUUGCUUUGAUGUUCCUUUGUCACAGUUCGAUAUUCUGCCUUGUGUGGCCUCUGUCUUGGUUUACAGCUCCAUAUGGCUACCUAUGUAUAUAUACGUAGGUUUUGUUUGAACUGUACUCAAACCAUGCAGAUGUUUCCACAUUCUUGCCUUCAUCUUUUUAACUCGUGACAUUGUUAGAUAGUUGAAUAUCAUUGGCCUCUGUCAGCAUUCUAUUUUUGCAGUUUGAAAUGAGUAUUGGUCCAUUGAUAUUAAACUUCACAAUAGGUGGUGGCAUCUCCAGGAAAAAGUAGUGACAGAUAUGCUGGACAUUUCUUUUCUGCUGUCCUAACACAUUUUUUAGUAACGGAGAGGAUUACUCACCUUUGGUGCUGCAGGCGUUCAAGACCUAGCAGGGCUGGGCCAACCGGCCCUUCGUGUUUGAAGAUGCCUGACACCCCAUGCUACCAGCCGGGCAUCUUCUUCCUGAGCCAUGUCCGGAACCAGACCAGCAGGGGCACCAUGAGCGAGUACUCGAGGCAUGUCGUCAGGUCGGAGGGGUACAACCAGGCCAGCUGCCGUGUAUGUCAUACAGUCAAGGUGUUCGCUAAUCUCCCAAGAUGAGCCAGAACGAGCAUUACAAGAUGAACCCCCCAUAUUUUUCAUUCCUUGAUAAAUGGUGUUGUAUGUUGGUUAAAGACUGUUUUUCUUCUCCAAUUAUGAAACCUCAAACAACAGCAAGAUAUAACAUUUUUGUUUGUUUUGCAAUCAAAGCUUCCAUCGAAUAAUUUAUUAGAAUUAUGCUCCAUCUUAUUCAGAAAUUGUGGCUAUUUUGUAUAUUUAUACAAGAUAGUAGCGAGUUGGCCUCUCGGUCUUAUUUCUUUAUACAUUUUGACUCAUACGCACA